AGACCCGAAACCCGGUGAUCUAGCCAUGGGCAGGUUGAAGGUUGGGUAACACUAACUGGAGGACCGAACCGACUAAUGUUGAAAAAUUAGCGGAUGACCUGUGGCUGGGGGUGAAAGGCCAAUCAAACCGGGAGAUAGCUGGUUCUCCCCGAAAGCUAUUUAGGUAGCGCCUCGUGAAUUCAUCUCCGGGGGUAGAGCACUGUUUCGGCUAGGGGGCCAUCCCGGCUUACCAACCCGAUGCAAACUGCGAAUACCGGAGAAUGUUAUCACGGGAGACACACGGCGGGUGCUAACGUCCGUCGUGAAGAGGGAAACAACCCAGACCGCCAGCUAAGGUCCCAAAGUCAUGGUUAAGUGGGAAACGAUGUGGGAAGGCCCAGACAGCCAGGAUGUUGGCUUAGAAGCAGCCAUCAUUUAAAGAAAGCGUAAUAGCUCACUGGUCGAGUCGGCCUGCGCGGAAGAUGUAACGGGGCUAAACCAUGCACCGAAGCUGCGGCAGCGAACGUAUCACCCAAGACAACUUUACGGAGUUGACGAUUGACGGAGCGAAGCGACGUCAAAGCGUUCAUUAAAGUCGAGUUGGCUUAGGGAUACGUUCGUUGGGUAGGGGAGCGUUCUGUAAGCCUGUGAAGGUGUGUCGUGAGGCAUGCUGGAGGUAUCAGAAGUGCGAAUGCUGACAUAAGUAACGAUAAAGCGGGUGAAAAGCCCGCUCGCCGGAAGACCAAGGGUUCCUGUCCAACGUUAAUCGGGGCAGGGUGAGUCGACCCCUAAGGCGAGGCCGAAAGGCGUAGUCGAUGGGAAACGGGUUAAUAUUCCCGUACUUGGUGUUACUGCGAAGGGGGGACGGAGAAGGCUAUGUUGGCCGGGCGACGGUUGUCCCGGUUUAAGCGUGUAGGUGUGUGUUCCAGGUAAAUCCGGUUCACUUUAACACUGAGGCGUGACGACGAGGCACUACGGUGCUGAAGCAACAAAUGCCCUGCUUCCAGGAAAAGCCUCUAAGCAUCAGGUAACAUCAAAUCGUACCCCAAACCGACACAGGUGGUCAGGUAGAGAAUACCAAGGCGCUUGAGAGAACUCGGGUGAAGGAACUAGGCAAAAUGGUGCCGUAACUUCGGGAGAAGGCACGCUGACACGUAGGUGAAGUGAUUUACUCAUGGAGCUGAAGUCAGUCGAAGAUACCAGCUGGCUGCAACUGUUUAUUAAAAACACAGCACUGUGCAAACACGAAAGUGGACGUAUACGGUGUGACGCCUGCCCGGUGCCGGAAG
rnacentral:rRNA from 1 species